rnacentral:rRNA from 1 species
GUCUAUGGCCAUACCACCCUGAAAGCGCCCGAUCUCCUCUGAUCUCGGAAGCUAAGCAGGGUCGGGCCUGGUUAGCACUUGGAUGGGAGACCGCCUGGGAAUACCGGGUGCUGUAGGCU